rnacentral:rRNA from 1 species
CACGUAGGGUGCGAGCGUUGUCCGGAUUUAUUGGGCGUAAAGAGCUCGUAGGCGGCUCGUCGCGUCGACCGUGAAAACCCGCGGCUUAACUGCGGGCUUGCGGUUGAUACGGGCGGGCUAGUGUUCGGUAGGGGAGACUGGAAUUCCUGGUGUAGCGGUGAAAUGCGCAGAUAUCAGGAGGAACACCGGUGGCGAAGGCGGGUCUCUGGGCCGAUACUGACGCUGAGGAGCGAAAGCGUGGGGAGCGAACAGG